UCAUAUGAAGAGAGUCCAUCUGGUACAGAUUACAAAAACAAUUCUGAGAUGUCGUCCAUUAAGAGAUAUUUGGAAAAUAUGCACCUCAAGGAGAAUAUUCAUCCUGUGUGCCAUUCUGGAGCUGAAAUUGACUUGCUAGUGAAUGAUGAUGUCUACACUGUGUCAGAAUCACCUAUGAUUUUAGGAACAGAAUCAAAGAAUAUUCAUGAAGAAUCUU